rnacentral:rRNA from 1 species
GAUGAACGCUGGCGGCGUGCCUAAUACAUGCAAGUCGAGCGAACAGACGAGAGUGCUUGCACUCUCUGACGUUAGCGGCGGACGGGUGAGUAACACGUGGGUAACCUACCUAUAAGACUGGGAUAACUUCGGGACACCGGAGCUAAUACCGGAUAAUAUUUAGCUUCGCAUUACGCAAUAGUGAAAGACGUUUCUGCUGUCACUUAUAGAUGGACCCGCGGUGUAUUAGCUAGUUGGUGAGGUAACGGCUCACCAAGGCAACGAUACAUAGCCGACCUGAGAGGGUGAUCGGCCACACUGGGACUGAGACACGGCCCAGACUCCUACGGGAGGCAGCAGUAGGGAAUCUUCCGCAAUGGACGAAAGUCUGACGGAGCAAUGCCGCGUGAGUGAAGAAGGUUUUCGGAUCGUAAAACUCUGUUGUAAGGGAAGAACAAGUACGUUAGUAACUGAACGUACCUUGACGGUACCUUACCAGAAAGCCACGGCUAACUACGUG